rnacentral:rRNA from 1 species
GACGAACGCUGGCGGCGUGCCUAAUACAUGCAAGUCGAGCGAGCUUGCCUAGAUGAAUUUGGUGCUUGCACCAGAUGAAACUAGAUACAAGCGAGCGGCGGACGGGUGAGUAACACGUGGGUAACCUGCCCAAGAGACUGGGAUAACACCUGGAAACAGAUGCUAAUACCGGAUAACAACACUAGACGCAUGUCUAGAGUUUAAAAGAUGGUUCUGCUAUCACUCUUGGAUGGACCUGCGGUGCAUUAGCUAGUUGGUAAGGCAACGGCUUACCAAGGCAAUGAUGCAUAGCCGAGUUGAGAGACUGAUCGGCCACAUUGGGACUGAGACACGGCCCACACUCCUACGGGAGGCAGCAGUAGGGAAUCUUCCACAAUGGACGCAAGUCUGAUGGAGCAACGCCGCGUGAGUGAAGAAGGGUUUCGGCUCGUAAAGCUCUGUUGGUAGUGAAGAAAGAUAGAGGUAGUAACUGGCCUUUAUUUGACGGUAAUUACUUAGAAAGUCACGGCUAACUACGUG